rnacentral:rRNA from 1 species
UACGUAGGGGGCUAGCGUUGUCCGGAAUCAUUGGGCGUAAAGCGCGUGUAGGCGGUCCGGUAAGUCCGCUGUGAGAGUCGGGGGCUCAACCCUCGGAUGCCGGUGGAUACUGUCGGGCUUGAGUACGGAAGAGGCGAGUGGAAUUCCUGGUGUAGCGGUGAAAUGCGCAGAUAUCAGGAGGAACACCAAUUGCGAAGGCAGCUCGCUGGGACGUUACUGACGCUGAGACGCGAAAGCGUGGGGAGCAAACAGG